ensembl:lncRNA
CAAAUGUUGCUUUAGGCUUCAGUUGACAUAUAGCAUUGUAUGAUUUUACAAUCAAAUCGGGAUUUAAGACAGCAACCUUUCUCUAAAAUUACAAAGAAACACGCCAUUGACCUUCAUUUGUGUUUUAGUUUAGCAGCCUCAGCCUCACUGCUCACAGAUAAAAGGGAGAUGUGCAAAAGUCGGUGGCUGCCCCACCCUAUCUUUUGUCCACAAAAAAAGGAGACAGGAUUAGAGAGAUUAGUGCUGACUCUUUUCCUACAACCCCAGCCAGUCACCAUCUCUAACUUAAAGCACACACUGGUAUGUGCACACAAAACAUGUUAUGAUAUGUUGGAGGCGGCAAACAUGCAUUUAUAUGUUUUGGGAAUAGUACACUGUGCACUUACACGCGUUCCUCGUCAGCAGUUUAAAGUUAGCCUCACUGCAGUUAGCAGUGAGCGACUGGUUUAAUCAGAUGUUGUUUUGCCUGCUACGAUAAUCUAUGUCAAGGAGGUCUGGGAGAGUGCAAGAUGAGGAUUAUAGUUUCCACUCAAGUCAGAGCACAAGCUCUUAGAAACCUUACACGUCACUCCUACCAACGCCUUUACUUCAUAACAACACAGCUCUGAAGCCAACAGCGACUGAAGAAAUCACUGAAAACAGUAGAAGAUUAUGCGAAUGGAGCCGGUGUUGUGCCAAAAAGUGAUUGCCUGCCAAAAAGUGAUUUCCAAUGUUUCCGUGUAUUUUUUAUGUGUAAUAUCUUUACGUAUGUUGGUAAAUAGACUUCGGUGAACAGCGUUUACAAAGGGGUUAUAUAUAGAAUUAAAAGAUUAUCUGUUUUUUCAAGUAUCUUUAUAACUCUGUGUUAUUGUACUCACAUUAUAACCAAUCCGGUCCUUUUUCCCCACUUACAAUAUUUUUACAGAACUAUUGUAAUAUUUGCUGCCAUUUCUGCUGUCUUACUCUUACAAAAGACAUUUUUAAUGUUAAUGAGUUUUUUUUUAACUGCAUAAAUAAAGGUUCUAUAAAAGUCGCUGCCAAAAACUGAUUGCGGCUUCUACCUUGUUACACGAAUGUUGUUUGUGGCUCAAUAUGACUUUGUGUCAUCCAUGAGGGAUGCAUUUGACAUAUGUUUCACAUAUUAUAGGCCAACAAGUUACUUAUAGCAGUUUAAAUACGAGCAAUCAGUUUUUGGCAAAUACCGGAAAUCAGUUUUUGGCAGACAAUCACUUUUUGGCACAACACCGGCUUUACUAUCAACAACGCUUCAAUAUAGAUUGUAAACUGAAGAGAGGGGUCCCCCAUUUUUAAUCAUGCUGUUUGCUACCCUGUUAUUGCUAAAAUGUGAAAGGUGGUUUGUUAAAUUGCAAUAUUUUUAAAGAAAUUAAAGUUAACUAUUUUUUUUAGCAGUAAUUACAGAAAACCUAAAUUUAUGCUAUGCAGUAAAUUGUAUGAGGAACAAUUACAAGUAUGUAAAAAAUCUCCUAAGAGUGACAUUAAAUUCGAG